GGCAGCAUGGCAAAAUGGCUUGAGCAUUGGACUACAACUCUGGAGAUCAGGGUUCGAAUCCUUGCUCAGUCA
rnacentral:tRNA from 1 species